rnacentral:rRNA from 1 species
GUGGGGAAUAUUGGGCAAUGGGCGCAAGCCUGAUUCAGCAAUGCCGCGUGCAGGAAGAAGGCCUUCGGGUUGUAAACUGCUUUUGUACGGAACGAAAAGGCUCUGGUUAAUACCUGGGGCUCAUGACGGUACCGUAAGAAUAAGCACCGGCUAACUACGUGCCAGCAGCCGCGGUAAUACGUAGGGUGCAAGCGUUAAUCGGAAUUACUGGGCGUAAAGCGUGCGCAGGCGGUUUUGUAAGACAGACGUGAAAUCCCCGGGCUCAACCUGGGAAUGGCGCUUGUGACUGCAGCGCUGGAGUGCGGCAGAGGGGGAUGGAAUUCCGCGUGUAGCAGUGAAAUGCGUAGAUAUGCGGAGGAACACCGAUGGCGAAGGCAAUCCCCUGGGCCUGCACUGACGCUCAUGCACGAAAGCGUGGGGAGCAAACAGGAUUAGAAACCCUAGUAGUCC